UUGGAGGGCAAGUCUGGUGCCAGCAGCCGCGGUAAUUCCAGCUCCAAUAGCGUAUAUUAAAGUUGUUGCAGUUAAAAAGCUCGUAGUUGAAUUUCGGGAUCAACAUGUCGGUCGUGCCUCCGGUACGUACUGGCAUCGUUGGUUUCUACCUUCUGACAAACCAUGAUGUCAUUAAUUUGGUGUCAUGGGGAAUCAGGACUGUUACUUUGAAAAAAUUAGAGUGUUUAAAGCAGGCACACGCUUGAAUACAUUAGCAUGGAAUAAUGAAAUAGGACGUUUGACCCUAUUUUGUUGGUUUCUAGGAUCGACGUAAUGAUUAAUAGGGAUAGUUGGGGGCAUUAGUAUUCAAUUGUCAGAGGUGAAAUUCUUGGAUUUAUUGAAGACUAACUACUGCGAAAGCAUUUGCCAAGGAUGUUUUCAUUAAUCAAGAACGAAAGUUAGGGGAUCGAAGACGAUCAGAUACCGUCGUAGUCUUAACCAUAAACUAUGCCGACUAGGGAUCGGAUGAUGUUAAUUUUUUAAUGACUCAUUCGGCGCCUUACGGGAAAC
rnacentral:rRNA from 1 species